rnacentral:pre_miRNA from 1 species
AGAGAGCAAUGCAGCCAAGGAUGAAUUGCCGGCGUAUAUCAUAUUACUUGGCAAAUUUUGCCGGCAGUUUGUUCCUUGGCUAUGUUGGGUUCCUU